rnacentral:lncRNA from 1 species
UGCUCAAGGAGACGGGUGAUCUCAUCAGGAAUCUCUUCAACGUCAUCUUCUUCUGCCUCAAAUACAGGGAAUUCAAAAUUGGGAGAUGGCGUUGGAUCAUUAUGUUCAAUGGGUUUUAGGAUCAACCUGCAUAAUGAUUUUGGUUAAGAAAAAUUCAGCAUUUAAACAAGCAAAUCAUUAUGCAGAUGAAAGAAUGUUGCUUUUACAGCUUUUAUUUUUGUU